UUGUCCAGCACUCAGUAACGCCCCCGAGUGCCAAGUCCAGGUCGGCGACAAAUGCCUGAUGACACAGCAUUCCCGGCCUCUUCGCCACGGAGGUCCAAAGCCCAAGUACAACAUUGGUCCAAUGGAACUGGAGCGGCGUCUGUGACAGUUCACGGUUUAGGGAAGCCAUAGUCGGGCUCCUCGCCCCAACUACAGAUCGCAUGUGCGCGCGCUGCUCCUGGACCAUGGGAUUAGUCAAAGCGCCUUCAAAACUUACAUUCAUGAAGUCAGGUCCCCAAACUUGCGCUCCUUAGAAAAAACACCUGUACAACUAGUGUAUUAAAGAGAGACAUACAUAGCUUGGGAAUGGUAAUUUCCUUAUCUCGACACAGAGUGCUGAGCCCGAACGUGGCCCGCCUCCCUGCUGCGAGUAGUUGCUUUGCACAUGCUGAAAACUGCGCUCCUGGGCCGUAGUGCAACCCGGCACCUCGGCUACCCGGUACUCAGCUUCCAUUAGCCGCUUCCGCUCACGUGUAGUGCCCCCGAAAAUGAGGACUUCACACUUGGCGGCUUUGCGGCCAUUCCCGUCGCUUUGCAGUAGGCUUCGAGGAGCCCCAGAAGGCAUUCAGCUCUAUAGUGCCCAGUCGCCACCAGUGACACAUCAUCAACGAAAACCAGGUUGGUGAGUUCACCGGCCGCCAGGCUAACACUCACAUGCAAGGCAUAAGCCAUACUGCCACAGGUAUCAAACACGUCCGGGUCAUGCAAGAUGGACAUCACCAACCUACCGAGCUAGCCGCCCUGCACAGCUCACCGGCGGAUUGUCCAGUUUGCGUCAGAGCCCGGUUCAUUCACCGGGUUGUGUUCAUCCGAUAUUUGUCAACCACAGAUGCCUCCUCCCCGCCGCGAGCUGGAGAGGGAAGCCGUGCUAGCCCCGCACAGCGCUGACCAAGUACGCGGCUGGGCCUGGUGGGCACUAAUAGGAGCCGCACGACGGUAGGUAUUGCAGUGUUGAGCACUUGCAGGCGGUGCAGGGUGUAGUGAGCCGAGCUUGCAUGUUGGCAGGAGGGACGUGUGCCACACAGCCAGAGGACUGAUGGUGCGCGGUGAAGCAGUG
rnacentral:lncRNA from 1 species